rnacentral:rRNA from 1 species
UACGAGGGGGGCGAGCGUUGUUCGGAAUUAUUGGGCGUAAAGGGCGCGUAGGCGGCCCGCUAAGUCGAACGUGAAAUCCCCCGGGCUCAACCCGGGAACUGCGUCCGAUACUGGCAGGCUUGAAUCCGGGAGAGGGGUGUGGAAUUCCAGGUGUAGCGGUGAAAUGCGUAGAUAUCUGGAGGAACACCGGUGGCGAAGGCGGCAUCCUGGACCGGUAUUGACGCUGAGGCGCGAAAAGCCAGGGGAGCAAACGGG